rnacentral:rRNA from 1 species
UACGUAGGGUGCAAGCGUUAAUCGGAAUUACUGGGCGUAAAGCGUGCGCAGGCGGUGAUGUAAGACAGGUGUGAAAUCCCCGGGCUUAACCUGGGAACUGCAUUUGUGACUGCAUUGCUGGAGUGCGGCAGAGGGGGAUGGAAUUCCGCGUGUAGCAGUGAAAUGCGUAGAUAUCGGGAGGAACACCAGUGGCGAAGGCGGCCUUCUGGACCAAUACUGACGCUCAUGCACGAAAGCGUGGGGAGCAAACAGG